rnacentral:lncRNA from 1 species
AAAAGUUCAGUGAAACAAUACAUUUUCACAUGUGUUGCCCAAUUUUUAGCUCUAUAUGUUAAUAGAUUGUUCGUUUUGCUAAUGGUGAUUGUGCACCUUAUAUUGCUAUCAUAUUUUGAAAAUGAUUGUCAGAAAAUUAUCAGAAUAACUUAUUUCUAUAUUUUAAUUUGCUUUCAUUAUUGCUGAUUAUCAGCUGCUUUGUUAUGAUCUAAUAACCAAUGGCAUCUAUGUAAAGAACAUGCCCAUGUUAACAAUGAUGAUCAUUUUUUGUUACUAUUUUUUCCAAUAUUAAAAUAGACACCUUAUCUAUUUUUGUAAUUUGUUCUCAUGGACAUUCACUUUGUUCUCUUGCUUUUCCUAUGGUCAAGUGUGUUCCUCCUCAACCUUGAUUACUCGUUUUAAGUUGUUCAAAAUUUGGAAAAGUCUUUGAAUUUCGCACAAAUCUUUGCAAAACCCUGGUAUUUCAAACAUUUUUAAAAUUUUAAGUUAUUUCCUUUUCCCAUCAUAGAUUUAAAAUUACUUUGAUCGUCCUGACAAGUUUCAACUAAAGAAAGUUAAUUUCAUAAUCCUUAAAGCAGUUACCUAGAUAAUUUUGAUAUUUUAAAAAAUGUCUUUUAAUUCAAGAAAAUUCUGACUGUCCAGUCUGCCUUAUAUGUCACCUGAUUUUAGAAGUUAUUUGAUAUCGGCAUACACAUGAUCAUCAUUGUGGCUGCAAUUAGCAAAUUAGGUUUGUUAAGAUGUUUCAUUUGAUAAUUUUUAUCACUGUAUUAAUUAAAUGUGGGGUGCAAUAUAUUUUUAUAAAAAUGCUUUA